rnacentral:misc_RNA from 1 species
CCAUUACCUCAACUGGCGGGUUUUAGCGGUGCUUCGGUGCCACUGACUCCCACCUGUUUGACGUUACCCAUGCCUUUUUGCGUACAGUUUGUUUUCCCAGCAGGGCAUUACGCCCCUACGGGAUAUCAAUCCACCCAUUGUAUUUGCAGUCAAUGUCUGAAAAAUAAUAAUAAUUA